AUUGAACGCUGGCGGCAGGCCUAACACAUGCAAGUCGAACGAGUGGCGGACGGGUGAGUAAUGUCUGGGAAACUGCCUGAUGGAGGGGGAUAACUACUGGAAACGGUAGCUAAUACCGCAUACCAUCGGAUGUGCCCAGAUGGGAUUAGCUAGUAGGUGGGGUAAAGGCUCACCUAGGCGACGAUCCCUAGCUGGUCUGAGAGGAUGACCAGCCACACCGGAAAUGAGACACGUGCCAGACUCCUACGGUGGGCAGCAGUGGGGAGUAUUGCACAAGGGGCGCAAUCGUGAUGCAGCCAGGCCGCGUGUAUGAAGAAGGCCUUCGGGUUGUAAAGUACUUUCAGCGAGGAGGCGUUACUCGCAGAAGAAGCACCGGCUAACUCCGUGCCAGCAGCGGCGGUAAUAC
rnacentral:rRNA from 1 species